rnacentral:lncRNA from 1 species
UGUAGAUAUAGUAUAACCAGAUUGUGGAGACACGUGAGUAGAGGCAUUAUGUGACUGGUGUGCCGAGUGAGUAGUUGAAACUGAGGCUCGUUUUGAAAUAUUAACUCGAGAGGGCUCAUCAGAUAUCACGACCCCAGUGGGCCUUCUCAUAUCAUUGGCCUUAAAUUUCUUUUUUGGAUUAGCGGAUUUUUUUUAUUUACCCUUGUCUGUAUCUAUCA